UAUUCUGUGGCUUAGUUGGUUAAAGCGCGCGUCUAGCUUAUACGCAGUCGAGGGUUCGAAUCUCGCCAGAACAA
rnacentral:tRNA from 1 species